rnacentral:misc_RNA from 1 species
UCCUCUCUCAAACCUCGUGUUUGGUGUUGGACCGCGUUGGACCGCCUCCAUGGCCAACUGGUCUCAAAGACAAUGACGGCGUCCCAGGGACCCUCUUCGCACUGAGUUCUCCGGAGCACGCGUAGAGUUUCAAGGGCCCAGGGACCCGGUCGCCUCUAAAAACUUUUUUCA